rnacentral:rRNA from 1 species
UACGGGGGGGGUAAGCGUUGUUCGGAAUUACUGGGCGUAAAGGGCUCGUAGGCGGCCAACUAAGUCAUACGUGAAAUCCCUCAGCUUAACUGGGGAACUGCGUGUGAUACUGGAUGGCUUGGAUUUGGGAGAGGGAUGCGGAAUUCCAGGUGUAGCGGUGAAAUGCGUUGAUAUUAUGGGGAACACCAAAAGCGAAGGCAGCAGACUGGAGCACUCCUGACACUGAAACAAGAAAGCGUGGGUAGCGAAUGGG